rnacentral:rRNA from 1 species
GACGUAGGGCGCGAGCGUUUGUCCGGAUUAUUGGGCGUAAAGAGCUCGUAGGCGGCUUGUUGCGUCAGCUGUGAAAACCCGCAGCUCAACUGUGGGCUUGCAGCUGAUACGGGCAGGCUUGGGUUCGGUAGGGGAGACGUGGAAUUCCUGGUGUAGCGGUGAAAUGCGCAGAUAUCAGGAGGAACACCGGUGGCGAAGGCGGGUCUCUGGGCCGAUACUGACGCUGGAGGAGCGAAAGCCGUGGGGAGCGAACAGG